CACAAUUAGAGACUUUUCUAUCACAGCAGAAGCAUUAAUUGUGAAUCAAUAUUAUAAGACGAGACGUUAAGCUGGCGAAUUUUGAAGCAGCCAUAAUACAUGAUCAAGAUGCCUAAAAGAUUCCGAGAAUUAUGUUUACGUCAAAAAUAUCGGCGCCUUGAAGCUUAUGCAAGACAUGAACGGCAAUCAAUUAUACAUAGACCUAUCAAUACAAAAAUCAAUUUAGAAACGCGAGAUCAUAAAAAUGUUUCUCCAAGACAGUGUACUAUUAGGUAUGACUCUUGUACAGAUAACGAAGAUAAUCUCAAUAUACCUUCUAUCGAUGUUCCACAUUUUGAGCACGUAAUUGUUGAACCGGGAAAUGAAAAGAAUGGCGAAGACAAGAUUAAUGAAAUUCCACUUUCAAAUUGGUUAUGUUCUUGAAAAGUAAAACAUAACAUUACUCACAUUGCCUUGUCAGAACUAUUAAAUAAAUUGUAUACAUGUGGGCAUACUGAACUACCAAAAGAUGCAAGAACGCUUUUAAAUACGCCGAGAAAUAGCAUCGUAGAGGUAUCAGCAGAUAAUAAAAGUUUUUUUCAUUACGGUUUGGAAAAAGCAAUAAUUGAACAAUUGACGCGCACAAGGGUGGUGAAUAUGGAAAAUGAAAUAAUUUUGAUAGAUUUGAAUAUAGAUGGACUUCCAAUAUCAAAAAGCAGUAAAAGUCAAAUUUGGCCAAUAUUGGGUAAAAUUUAUGGCGACAAGGCAUUUUCGCCGUUUGUAAUUAGUGCUUAUCAUGGAUAUUCAAAACCACCUUCAAUACGAAACUUUUUAAUACCUUUUUGCCAAGAAUAUAAUACUCUCCAGAAUACUGGACUCAUUUUUUGUGAGAGAAGAUACACUGUACGAAUUAGAAGUGUCAUUUGCGAUAGUCCUGCAAGAGCAUUUGUAACUUGCACAAAAGCACAUAACGGAUUCUUUGGAUGUGGAAAGUGUAUGCAAGAAGGCACAUAUUCCAAUCAUCAUAUGUUAUUUUUGGACUCUACUGCACCUCUUCGAACGGACAAAAAUAGAGCACAAGAAGAGCAUCAUACUGGUGUAUCUCCCUUUGAGUUAAUACAAUUGCCAAUGGUUUCACAGUUCCCGUUAGAUUAUAUGCAUUUGAUAUGUUUAGGAGUCAUGAAAAAAUUACUGCAGUUAUGGAUAAAUGGUUAUCAAACAUCAAGAUUAAGUGGACGAAAACUUACGGUAUUGACAGAAAAAUUAAUUGCAAUGUCAAAGCGGGUACCGAAGGAGUUUGCUCGAAAACCACGUUCUUUGGAUGAAUUGAGUCGUUGGAAAGCAACAGAAUUGCGAGAAUUUUUACUCUACUUUGGACCUGUCGUGCUGUUAAAUAUUUUGCCUAAAGAUAACUUACUGCAUUUCAAUGCAUUGAAUUGUGCAAUACGGAUAUUGUGUCAUCCAAGGGAUUGCUUCCGUAAUAAUAAAUAUAGCAGAGAUCUAUUGAUUACAUUUGUAGAGACAUUUAAGCAAUUGUAUGGCGACGAAGCUAUAAUUUAUAAUGUACAUAAUUUGGUUCAUAUAAACGAAGACGUAUUAAUGUUUGGACCUGUUGGGAAUAUAGAGUAUAAUACAUUUAUAUUGUACACUGGGCGUUCGUUUAAACGGUAUGGCAGUUGGAAUGAACUCAUCCCCCCUCCCUGGUUAUGAAUGAGCGUUGUGUGGGAUGAGCGUUGUGAGAGAAAAACCCCUCACUCUGGUUUAAGCCUUUGAGGCAAACGGCACACAUAGUUAAAUAAGUUACGUGUAAGAUGGAAAUAAAUGAUAUUAAUCAAUAAAGUCCUCUUUUUAUAAUCACCAAUCUUAACAUGGUAGCAGAGCGUGGUUUGUUUGCUUGGGUGAUUUAAGUGGUGAAAAGUGUUGGACACGUGAAUUUCACUAAGUGAAGAGACGCUCGAGACGAGCACGUGGUACAUUCCGAACACGAAGGAACGUUCGAGAAUAAAGAAGACAAAAUGGAGAAAAAGGAGAUUAUGAUACCAGUAUUCGACGGAGAGGACUAUAGUAUGUGGAAGAAGAGAAUAACGAUGUUCCUUAAAUUGAAAAAGUGCCAAGAAGUAAUUACCAGAGCAAGAGUCGCAACAGAUAGUGAAGACUGGGAUGAAAACGAUUUAAAGGCAAUAAAUCUGAUUUAUGGUGCGAUAUCGAAUAAACAACUAGAAUUUGUUUGUUAAGAAACUACAGCACAUGGAAUUAUAAAGAGACUAGACGAAAUGUAUUUGAAGGAAUCUACAGCGUUACAAAUUGUGUGCAGAAACAAACUGGAGAAGAUGAAAUUAGAAAAGUACAGUGAUACAGCAACAUUCUUCAGUGAUUUUGAGAAGUCAGUCAAUGAAUUAAGAAGCGCUGGAGCCAAGAUCAGCGAAAAGGAAAAACUGAAUUAUAUGCUAAACACGUUGCCGAGCCAAUACAGUUACAUUGGCGAUUUAAUCGACAUGUUAAGGGAAGAGGAUCAAACAGCAGCAUACGUCAAAAAUAAAAUCCAGAUUGCCGAAAUGAAGAAUAACGAUCAUGGUGAAAGAGAUGAAAGAAGAUCAAAUGUAUUCACAGCGAAGAAGGAUCAAAAGGGAAUGUUUCAAGUGUGGCAAAACCGGGCAUUUCGCACGAGAGUGCCAAGAUGGCGGCCAAGCGGGGUACAACUAAGGAACAUGGCGAGGUUCAACACGUGGUCGCGCACGAGGCAGAGGCGGAAGAGGCAACUACAUCAGAGGACGCGGUAACUUCCGUCAGCAAGGAGCCACCACCAGUGAGCAGAGCAGCGCAUGGAUAGCCAUGGCACACGAGGCGCAGAGUGGCUACAGUAAAGAUAAGUUAGAUAAUGAAAUCCAAUGGUUAUUAGAUAGCGGAUGUACUGACCAUAUAAUUAAUAAUGAGAAUUAUUUCGAGAAAAGUAUUGUACUUAAAGAGCCAGUCAAUAUUUACUUAGGAGAUAAUAGAUAUAUAAAAGCAACGAAAAUCGGGAACGUAGUAAGUUACUUUGACGCGUUUGGUAAACGGAAUGAAGUAAAUAUGAGUAAUGUUUUUUAUGCCAAAGAGAUGAAUACAAAUUUAAUUAGUUUUGGAAAAUUAACGGAUAAAAAUACGAUUAUUUCAAAAGGAAAUAUUGCAAAAAUUGUUGAUGAGAAUAAUAAAUUAAUAGCAGUAGCUUUCAAAGAAAAACAGGUUUACAGAAUGACAAGUAAAUUAAAAACCAAGGAGAUUAGUGUAAACAGUGCCGCACGAAACAAUAACAUGAGUCAAAAGGAAAGGUGGCAUAGAAUCUUAGGUCACGUAAAUUUUAGUUAUCUAAAUACAUUAAGUACUCAACAAUUGUUAGAAGGCAUUCCAAAUAAACUUGAAUCGGAAUAUAUGAAAUGCAAAACGUGUUUAGAGAAUAAAAUGCAUAACCUGCCUUUUAAUAAUAACAGAACAAAAGCUAGAGACGUUCUGGAGAUUAUACAUACAGAUGUGUGUGGAAGUUUUAAAACGGUUGGUCCAAAUGGAGAAAGAUAUUUUGUUUCGUUCAUAGAUGAUUAUAGUAAAAUAGCUAAGGUUUACUGCAUAAAAUCCAAAGAUGAAGUUUUCGAUUGUUUAGUACAAUUCCUAAAUGAAAUCGAAAAUAUGACCGGGAAAAGGGUAAAAACUUUAAGGUGCGAUAACGGGAAAGAGUACAUGAAUAACCGCUUUUAUAGAUUUGCCAAAGAAAAGGGUAUUGUAAUAAACAGCUGUCCUGCAUAUGUACAUGAGUUAAACGGUACGGCGGAACGGUUUAAUAGGACGAUAAUGGACAUGGCGCGUUGUUUAUUAGCAGAGGCACAAGUAGGUAAGCAAUAUUGGCCGGAAAUAAUAUGGGCGGCCACAUACCUGAAAAAUCGUACGUUAGCAAAUACAAUAGAAAAGAAAACCCCUUAUGAAAUAUUUUUCGGAAAGAAACCAAAUGUUGAACAUCUGCGAUUGUACGGUAGUAAAGUUUUUGUAAGAAAGCCAGAACAAAGAAGAUUUUCGAAAUGGGAAAAAAAAGCAGAUAUGGGAAUUCUAUUAGGCUAUAGUGAUGUUGGAUAUAGAGUUCUUGUAAACAAUAGAGUAAUAGUCGCGAGACAUGUUGAUAUCGUGGAAGAGAAUGUAAUUUGUAUUAACCUUGAUGAAAAUGAUAAUGAAAGCGAUACUAAUGCAAAUAAUGACUUAAAUGAUAGUGUUUCUGAAAGCGCGGAAACAGAUGAAGAAAAUCGUAAAUCAAAGGAAAAUGACUCUGAAAAUGUAGAAUCAAAGGUUCCACGUAGAUCUAAGCGAGAAAAGAAAAUCCCAAUAAGAUAUCCAGAGAAUAGUUCUAGUAAUAUCUAUGUAAACUAUUGUAGAGUAGAUACUCCUUAUACAUUUGAGGAGGCGUUAAAUAGUAAUGAAUGCGAAAAUUGGAAAAAGGCGAUGGAUACAGAGAUAAAUUGUAUCAAUAAAAAUAAAACUUGGAAAUUAGUUAAUAAGGAACAAGGUAUUAGAGGUAAAAUGGGUUUACACAAGGAAGUCCGACGAUACGUAUAAGGCUAGGUUAGUCGUAAGAGGUUUCCAACAAACAAAUGUAAUUGAUGACAUAUACGCUCCAGUUGCAAAAAAUCAAACGUUAAAAAUCUUAUUUUCAUAUUGUUGUCAAAAUGGUUUAAAAAUUGAACAAAUGGAUGUAGAAACUGCUUUUCUAAACGGCAAGAUUAACUCGGAGGUAUAUGUGAAUCAACCACAAGGGUAUGAAGAUGGUACAGAUAGAGUGUUUAAAUUAAGAAAAGCAUUGUAUGGAUUAAGAGAAAGUCCUAGAGAUUGGUAUGAGUGUUUCGAUGAGUAUAUGAUGAAACUAGGUUUUAGGAAAAGUAAUGUAGAAUUGUGCUUAUACAUUCACAGAAAAGGUAAAAAUACUACUUAUCUUCUAAUAUAUGUAGAUGACUUAUUGAUCUGCAGCAAAGAUAAAGAGAAAAUACAAAGCAUAAAGAAACUAUUAUCGGACAAGUUCAAAAUGAAAGAUUUAGGAGAAAUAAAUGAAUACCUUGGUAUUCAAAUAGAUUACAACUAUCGUAAAUAUGAAAUGAAUCUUAACCAAACAAAAUAUAUAGAGUCCUUAGCAAAUAAAUACAAAGUAAAUAAUGGGAAAUUAUAUAGCACUCCCAUGGAUAUAAAUUUAAAGAUUGAAAAGGCUGAAGAGUGUGUAUCCGAUAUAAAGUAUAGAAACUUAAUUGGCGCAUUAUUAUACAUAAGUUCUAGUACAAGACCUGAUGCGAGUUAUAGUGUAAAUUACUUGAGUAGAUAUCAGAAUUGUUAUAACGAAACGCAUUUUAAGUACGCUUUGCGAAUUUUGAAAUACCUGUACUUAACUAAAGACUUAAGUUUAUGCUAUCGAAGAAAUGAAAACGCAGAAGUUAUACAUUGUUAUGUAGAUGCUGAUUUGGCAGGCGACAGCAUAGAUAGGAAAUCCACAUCUGGUUAUGUAAUUAGUCUGUAUGGAAAUGCAAUUGACUGGAAAUCGAGAAAACAAAGAUGUGUAACCAAAGCUUCGACUUAUGCGGAAUAUGUAGCACUAUCAGAAGUAGUGACUGAGUUAAAGUAUAUUAGAGAGUUAGUUAAAAUAUUUGAUAUAAGCGUAAAUGAACCUAUAAAAAUUUAUGAAGAUAACUCAGGGGCGAUAAGCAUAGCAAAUUUCGGAGAUUUUACGAAAAAUUCUAAACAUAUAGAAAUACAAUAUCACUAUGUACAUGAAAGCGUUAAAGAAAAAUUGAUUGAAGUAUGUAAGGUUGACUCGAAUGAGAAUAUUGCAGAUAUAUUUACCAAGGCCGUGUCCAAAGAAAAAUUUGAAAAAUUCAGGAAACUAUUGAACAUAAUGUAAAGGUAUAUUAAAGUGUAAAAUAUAAAUGUAAGGAGGCGUGUUGGGAAUAUAGAGUAUAAUACAUUUAUAUUGUACACUGGGCGUUCGUUUAAACGGUAUGGCAGUUGGAAUGAACUCAUCCCCCCUCCCUGGUUAUGAAUGAGCGUUGUGUGGGAUGAGCGUUGUGAGAGAAAAACCCCUCACUCUGGUUUAAGGGGGCAAACUGCACACAUAGUUAAAUAAGUUACGUGUAAGAUGGAAAUAAAUGAUAUUAAUCAAUAAAGUCCUCUUUUUAUAAUCACUAAUCUUAACAGGACCAUUGGAUAAUUUUUCUGCUUUUCCUUUCGAGAAUUACAUGCAAUCAAUAAAAAGAAUGCUUAGGAAAGCCGAGAAACCACUGCAGCAGUUGUAUAAAAGAAUUUCAGAAUAUUUUUAUAAAGAUUUUCCAAUUGAUUGUAACAAAUGUAAAACACCUACAUUGAAAAAGAAAUGUUCUAAAGUGCCUGCCAUGAAUUGUACCGAUGCGUAUUCUAUGAUUGAAUUUAGCGACUUUAUACUAACAAAUAAAGAACCCAACAAUUGUUGUUACCUUCAAGAUAAAACAAUUGUUGUUAUUGAACAUAUUUGUCAUAAUACAGAAGGAAUAGCUGUCAUUAUCGGAAAAAAAUUUUUGACGAAAAAUUCUUUGCCAUACUAUCCUUGCGACUCACAACAGUUAGACAUAUACAUGUAUGUGACUACAAAUUUCUCGGAUCUAAUGAUGUGGCCAAUAACAGAAAUUCUGAACAAAGCCGUUCAACUUCCGCUUGAAGAUGCAACUUCUUGGUGUUGCAUGCCAUUACUGCAUUCAUCGUUUAAUUAAGAUAAUAUUGCUGAAGCAAUAUAUCAUAUUAUUGUCAACGACGAUUACUUUUCCGUACAAAACAUAUUUGUGGAAUUGGAUAUGGCACAAAUGCUUACGCCUAAAUUACAACAGACAUGCCAAUUUUAAUGACGUUCUACGUUUUGCUCUAUGAUGAUUAUUGUGUAACAGUACCAAUAACUUGGAUUGACUUUGAACAGUGUUCUUUUAAAAUGCCUGCGACAAAAAAUCUUACUCAAGCUUGUCGCAAGCAAUUAUCACCACAUAAUGAUUGGAACGAGUUUAAGUUUCAUAAACAUUUUGGUCCGUAUGAUACUUACUCAAAUGCACGGUCAGUUGAACAAGCAGUAGCCCAAAUGUCUACGUCAGAUGAUACAAUAUUGUCCUACAGGAAGAAAAAGAGAAUAUUCCGAAAAAAAUGUUUAUUAAAGAACGUAAAUUUUAUGGCGACACAUCGAAUGAAGAUGAACCAAAAAAGAAAAAAGUUCUAAAAUUCCCUUCGAACUACAUUGCAGACAGUCAAAAUGUAUCUCACUUAUCAAGCCAGCCGAUUAAUACAUCAUCGAAAAUUACUAAGCUAGCAUGCGGAUCUAUUACAGCAAUCAACGAGGCUUUUACCAACGUGGCAACCAAAAAUGUAAACAAUAUUUUAGAAACCGGAGAAAGUGAUGCGAUAUUAAAAAAUAAUAAUUUUAUAGAUGAAAAUACGUUACAUUCAUACGAAGAUGAGUCGUCAUGUAGUGACACAGAAAUGCACAAAAUGACCGAGAAGCAAGAAAAUCUAAAAGUUGUACAAGGGAAUGUAACAGUUGGACCAACAAUUGUUUCACAAAUAACUAUUCCUCCUUCCACGAGCACUGUAACACACGAUUCAAUAACAUUGGAGCACACAUUUUGUUGUGAAAAAUGCCGCAAAAAUUACUCGCUCAAAUAUGAGAAAAUUCAACGGAAACUCAACCAUAUAAUUCAAUUACUAGAAAAUGAAAAUAAUCAACAAAAUGAAAUAGACGAAGACGAUGUAUCGUUGUUACCCAAUUUUCCCCUCACUACAGUGGUACAAAUAGAAAUGUUCAAUAACAGAUUGGAUGAUAUUAAUGUUCGGCAACAAUUUAUGAAAAAAAUGGCGCAUUUUAGUGGAAAUACUGUACCAAAAUUUGUGAAUAACAUAAUGUCGGAAACUAUGGGCUAUGAAGUUGCACAAGCUUACACGUGGACAGGCCAAAAGAAGAGGUUAUCAUUAAAAAUAUCGAAACUAUCUGACACAAUAAUUGAUGAGAAUUUUUGUAGAACUACUUUAUGUCAUUUUAACAUGUAUUUUAACAAGAUUCAUUUAUUAUGUUUGGAGCAAUUGUUUUGAAGAAAAAGAAUACCACAAUCACUGAAGUAGAAGCAUGUAUACAAGAAUGGUUGCGACGAUCUGGCGACAGGAAGAGAAAAUUGUUAAACAAGUAAAUAUAUUGUGAGUUUUGCAUUUGUUACUAUAAAAUUGCUAAAUUCUACCAUAGAAUACUAACUUUAUGGACUUUAACCAAAUUAUGUUCAUUGUAAAUUAUAAUUUACAACUGCUUCAAUAUCUAUAUGUGUAAUCAGUAGACAUCUGCUGUAUUUAUUAUUAUGAGAAACUCAUGCAAAACUGACAAUAGUAUAGGAGGGAAAAAUAUAUAAAAAGAUUAUAUAUAUAAUCGGUGAAUUGUUUGUUUUAAAACUAUAAAUUUUAUGUAAUAUUAAGAUAUAUAAAACAUUGAUAUU